GAACACACACAGACACAUACACACAGAAACACACACAGAGACAUACACACAUAGACACACACAUAGACAUAGACAUACACACCAACACACAUACAGACACACACACACAGGCACAUACAUACACACAGAGACACGCACACGCUUCAGAAAAGGGUCAUAAAUGUUUUGAUUAAAUGGCCGGAGAUUAUAAAAACAAGAGUGUACACUUAAGACUCCUCCCUGCCUUUUCCUGUCUCCCGUUCUUGGCCCAUCUUCCUCUCUUCCUUCAAGCCUCUCAUCUCUAUCUUUGUCUCAUAAAUCCUUCAUUUUAGUUGGUGUGCCUUAGCCCAGCCCUGUCAGCCAGCAGCCGGGCUCCAGGAACCAACAAUCGUGGUUUUGUGGUACCAAGCCAGGAGCCUGGCCACAAUUACGAGAGGUGCAAAGGAGCACUUUCAGCUUUGGCCCAGAACAGGCCCCAGAGGGUGAUUUCAGCUUUUUUUUUUUAAAGAAACUCCCCCAAAACAUUUAAUUCCACACACACCACAAAUUUGAUUUAUUAUUUCAUUAUACACCCAAUGGAAGACUCUGAAUCGAAGAAUCUGCUGGCUCCAAUCUCAGGAUUUGCACAAAGGUGCUUUGUGUUGAGCAAGCAAACGCCUCAGCUUUCCCUACGAUUUCUGCCCACUGUCCCUCUGGCUUGGUCACCACCAGAGUGUGCUGCUGCCUCGUCAAGAUGCUCCAAAGGGAAGGCAGAGGCAGGGGAAGAGAGCCAGCUCCCCCUCACUUCGGUGCCUGGUUGGAGGUAAACAGCCUCAGUGGGCCAGGAGGGAAAGGGGCAACCUUCAAAGGCAGAAAAGAACCAUCUGACAAGGAAAAGAGAGAAACUUGAACUCAAGGGCAGACUCCUCAAGGCCAAUACCACACUGUGGAAGUCACUGAACCUGUUUGGUGAGCUGACCUACGACCUCAUUUUGCAACUAUUUUGUGCACACCUUCCACCUCCGGCCAACUUAUUUCCCAAAGUGAAGAAGCAAAAUCCAUCUGGGAGCGAAGCUUGAAGGGUGAGCUAGGUCAGAGGACAGUGGGUUAGAGGUCACAACGCGAUGCCUCUACACAUAACUCCUGGGGAAGUAGGAGAUAACUCUCUCAGCCACAGAGUUUAGGUUUUUUCCUCGGAGUGAAUACCUAGGUGGUUUCCUUUAAAAAAUAAAAUGCCAAAUAUUUAUUGUUCUAAA